rnacentral:rRNA from 1 species
UACAGAGGGUGCGAGCGUUGUCCGGAAUGACUGGGCGUAAAGGGCGCGUAGGCGGCCUGAUAAGUACGCGGUGAAAUUCCGUGGCUUAACCACGGACCGGCCUUCUAGACUGUCAGGCUUGAGCACGGUAGAGGCAGAUGGAAUUCCCGGUGUAGCGGUGGAAUGCGUAGAGAUCGGGAAGAACGCCAGUGGCGAAGUCGGUCUGCUGGGCCGUUGCUGACGCUGAGGCGCGACAGCGUGGGGAGCAAACAGG